rnacentral:tRNA from 1 species
AGCAUCUGCCGGGAAUCGAACCCGGGCCGAUCGCGUGGCAGGCGAGCAUUCUACCACUGAACCACC